rnacentral:rRNA from 1 species
AGAUGGGAGCUUGCUCCCUGAUGUUAGCGGCGGACGGGUGAGUAACACGUGGGUAACCUGCCUGUAAGACUGGGAUAACUCCGGGAAACCGGGGCUAAUACCGGAUGGUUGUUUGAACCGCAUGGUUCAGACAUAAAAGGUGGCUUCGGCUACCACUUACAGAUGGACCCGCGGCGCAUUAGCUAGUUGGUGAGGUAACGGCUCACCAAGGCGACGAUGCGUAGCCGACCUGAGAGGGUGAUCGGCCACACUGGGACUGAGACACGGCCCAGACUCCUACGGGAGGCAGCAGUAGGGAAUCUUCCGCAAUGGACGAAAGUCUGACGGAGCAACGCCGCGUGAGUGAUGAAGGUUUUCGGAUCGUAAAGCUCUGUUGUUAGGGAAGAACAAGUGCCGUUCAAAUAGGGCGGCACCUUGACGGUACCUAACCAGAAAGCCACGGCUAACUACGUGCCAGCAGCCGCGGUAAUACGUAGGUGGCAAGCGUUGUCCGGAAUUAUUGGGCGUAAAGGGCUCGCAGGCGGUUUCUUAAGUCUGAUGUGAAAGCCCCCGGCUCAACCGGGGAGGGUCAUUGGAAACUGGGGAACUUGAGUGCAGAAGAGGAGAGUGGAAUUCCACGUGUAGCGGUGAAAUGCGUAGAGAUGUGGAGGAACACCAGUGGCGAAGGCGACUCUCUGGUCUGUAACUGACGCUGAGGAGCGAAAGCGUGGGGAGCGAACAGGAUUAGAUACCCUGGUAGUCCACGCCGUAAACGAUGAGUGCUAAGUGUUAGGGGUUUCCGCCCCUUAGUGCUGCAGCUAACGCAUUAAGCACUCCGCCUGGGGAGUACGGUCGCAAGACUGAAAACUCAAAGGAAUUGACGGGGGCCCGCACAAGCGG